AGGUGAACUGCGGAAUGAUCAUUGUUG
rnacentral:rRNA from 1 species